rnacentral:lncRNA from 1 species
UGAAAAUGAAACCCUAGUGAAACAAUUCAUCUACAUUUCACAAAGUUAAAUUGUUGAAAAAGUAAUUUCUAGUAUAUUAAUCUAAGAAUAAGGGUCGACUCUCAGUAAUUUGAAGGUAUAGAUGACCAAGUACUCUAAUUGUUAAAAAGCCAAAUCGGUAUAUCUAAAGUUCCUAAAUCGGCUUUCUUCCUGGCCCAUGUCAUGACUAAUUUUUUAGUUCUGUUUCUUACUGUUUGGAUUACCUGGCAAAUGAGUGAUACUUAAAGGAAAAAGGAUCAGAAAUGCUGGGCAGUUUGGCUUGGAAACUAUUGCUGAUGUGUGCUGUGUUAGCCUAAAGAAUCGGAGAAAUAAAAAAAGCCUAGGAGAGACUAUUUAUCAUCCUAACCAGCUUCACAUUGCUCUGUUCACUCUCAUGCAGAGAAAAGAGUACGGGAACACCAAGAAAGGAAGAUUGAAGGGAGGAGGUCUUUUGUCAAUGAUACUUGUUUAAAUUCAACUUUAAAUUUGUAAUUAGGAAUUUAUCCUAAUUAUUUGUGCCAUAGAUAAUAC